rnacentral:lncRNA from 1 species
CAACUCUGCCUGGAGCAGGGUGUCCCGUUGCCGGGGCACAGUUGAGGACUGCUAUAGUUCCACCCGCUAUCAUGGAAGGGGUCGCAACUAUGGGCAGUCCAGCUACCACAGCCGACGUCUCUCUCCUCCACCAAGCUGGGGUGUGGUGGGGUACCGCAGAAGGAGACCAAGAAGAAGUGGAUUGCCAAGAGCAAGAAGAGGGUCUCAUUCGCCAGCCCAUUAGCUCAAGUGUUUGGUGAGUUGAAAGAAGACAAUUGUUUCCUAUCUACCACCAUAGAACUUCAUCAUGAGUUGUGCCCCACUCAUUUUGAUCCAAUGCUUGAAGAAAUGCUCCCCUCUCAUGUUGCUGCAGGACCAUCCAAAGAGGACUACAUCAGGGAGAUGCUGAAUGCACCGGGCUGGGAGCCUGUCGCUUCACCAAUGGCUGAUGAUGACCUUGGAGAAGCGAGGUGCGAGAACUGAUCGGUGAGGAGAGUAGGAAAGGCUUCACCAAACAGAACAUCUCCAUCCCAGAUAUGCCACAAGUCAAUGCCCAACCAGUUGCAAAAUCAACGCUUGAGUUACACAAUGUGAUAGCAAACAUGCAACACACUAAAACUUUGCACACACAAACAACCACUCCACCAUUGGUUGCUCAGAGACAUUGCAGUCCAGUUAGUAAUAUGCUUUUCAAUAAUUCUGCUCACAACAUUGAGCAGAACACCAUUCUCCCAUCUGCACCAUCACAUGUAGACACAAACACCCAUCUGAGUGAGAUGCACCCUGAAAGUGCAGUAGAAGAGCUGAUGCACCCUGAAGGUGCAGAAGAUGAGAUGGCACUGUUUGUAGAGUUUGUCUCUAGCAAUCCUACUACCCCCAAGCUGCACACACCUCCAAGGGUAAAUGACACUCACAGCAAUGAAAUGCCCAACAGUUCGACACAACCAUCUCAACAAAGAAAGAGCAAUAGAUUAGCCGAAAAAGCAAAAGCAAACCCGAUAACACGAAGUAUUCAACUUGCACAGUGUGUCUUGAUGAACAAAUUAGGUGAAUUAUCUCCUAGAGUACUAAGAAAUGCUAAUGGUGAAUUUGAACAGAAGGCGCGCCACCUCCCGCGUCCCCUCACCAAGAUGAAGAUGGAGGCCCUGAAGAUGGCCAUCAAGCAGGGGAACAAGCUCAUGGGCAAGAAGAAGGCCAAGGUGGCGCUUGCCCUUGCAGGUGUGCAGGCGUAGAGGAAGACGCCAGAACUAUCACCGUCGACUAGUUGUUUUUCUUUUUCAGAAUGAUUAGCAAACCACUUGAGAACUUGAAUCGGCUUGUAAUAUUUAAUGGGUCGGCAAUUUGGCCCUACGGCUUCAGCGG